UGUGUUGAUUGUGUCCAUGGAAAUUUAACAUCAGAUUGGGGCACAAUGCUCCAUGAUUCUUACAUGGAAGAAUCUGACAUAGUACGAUCGUCAAUAGCAAUGAACUCAGAGCAGAGACCUCUGCCUCCAAGAACUAGGAGACUCAAAAAUUCAAGGAUGGCUAUUUAAUGGGUGAAAUUAUUCCAGGAGCACAACAGAAGACAGGUACAGAAUGGCUGUCUGUACAUAUUCAUACGAUCUUAGUAUAUCAAGAACUACUUCAUUGCUCCAAAGUUUUGAUCCAAGGUUCACUGCAAUCUAUGCAAAGAUUCCUACUGUCUCCACUUAGGUGUUUUUAGGACACCCAUAGCUCCAGUAUACAUUUGGCCUUUGCACAACAAUUACAUGGUUUAGUCUGUACUUACAUGAUGAUUUUCUUUCUUUUUUUUUUUAGAGAGAAAACAACUGCAGAAACCUGUUUCUAGACUUUCCUAAAGCACUGACUUUUUUUUUUUCAGAUAGAUGGGGCUCAGUGGAUGGUGUGCUCCAGGUCUGUGAUCUGUAACUGAGAAUAAAGAGAGUCUUCUUGUUGACUUAA